UUAUCAUCAAAAUAUUUUAGAUUCUUUUAUAUAAAUAACAUCAAAAAUAUUAAAAGUAUGUAAAUAGCAAUAGUUAAAUGCAAUAUUAUAUGAAAUAAAUUUUUGAAAUUCAACAAACAAUUUCAACAAUGUAUAAUGACAUUUGAAGAAAGACAGGCAUGGCAGCUAACGUAUUAAAAUAUAAUCAAAUACAUACGAGAAAGAAGUAUUUCGACGAUAUGUGUAUAUUUUUCAAUUCUAGAAUGCUUUUUUCAGAAAAUGAAAUAUCUAUUCUAACCUCUCAAUGAUGAAGUUGGAAUCUUCUUUCCAUAUAAACGAAGAGAUUUUAGAUGAGAUAAAUAGUUUUGAGGAAAUUUACACUGUUUAUUUUUAACACAGAACACAUAUUUAUUCAUAUUACUUCUAUAUACUAUGAAGAGAUAAAAUAAAAAAAAAUUCAAUUUUAUUCGAUGUAUAGAAAACGAUCGAAUGUAAAGAAACGAAUCUAUGACGCACAGAGGGCGACAGUGAGAGGUUAAUAAGCAUCGCCAUUUCACACAUACUUAACCUCUUUAAUUAUACAUUUCGAUCUGUCGAAAUCCGCAUCGUGUCGAUCAACAGAUAAUUUUCUCUUCUACUCGCCUAGAGUCUAAGAUUUAUAACGAAAUAAUCGUUCAAUUGCCGGAUCAUUCGACGGACAAAUGAGUCGGUUUAUCGGCCUUUAGAAUUCAGUCCAAUCGUGAGAUACGUGCUCCCGUGGGGCAUAAAUCGCAUAAGUCUUUCUAGUCGAUAGAAACCGUACUCGCAUAUCUAUAUUCGCGUUAUUCGGUACACGUAAUCGGUUUGUACUUCGAGUACCUAUUUUCUUGGAAGAAAGCAUUAGAAACAUUAUGCUUUCAAGAUACGAGAGUUGGCAAGAGUGAAAGUUCAUACACGUAAAGUUACGUCAAUGCGAGAUACCGAAAAACUUGUGCAUAAAAACUCGAUGCGUGUUAACAUUCAUGUGGCCAAUAAAGUAUUAUGCAAUGAGUCAUACGUUAUGUGCUGACAGUACGAGCAAAUAUCUUUUCAACGAAAUUUUAUUUUGUGUGUAAUAGUUACAGUAAUAGUGAAAUUGUGUGUGAAUUAAUUGUAAGAUUGUUGGAAAGUUUUCUAGUUGGAAUUCCAGAAAAUCAAGAGGUAUUGGCGAAACGAUUGUUGGCAUCCGGUUCCACGCCUUUUUCGCACCGAUUAUCUGGAUCGUUUGGAAUCAUGUUUCUCGCCUUGUGUCUCCUUCAGGUAUUAAUUACGAGUAGAUAACCGGAAAAAAAUACGGGAUUAUGGAUCAAGGAGGAUAGUUUGCAUACAAUGAGAAUUGCGUAUAUCAUAAUCGAAGAAGAAAACUUGUUUCAUAAUAUCAGUUUCGUAGCGAAAUAUUUCUGGAAUAUUUUGAUUUGAUGUUGAGGAUGUGAAUCUUGAUUUGUUGAUCUUUUCUAAUUGUUUUAUGUUCCAUUAAAAUAAGAGGAAUAAAUGUUAUGAAUCGUUGAAUGUUUAAUAAAGAUUAUAUAUGGAAUAUAAUAAUAAAAAAAAAUUAAAUUGAAGAUCUUGCACAUUCAAAUGAUUCAAUAUAAUUUUAGAUAUAUUAAAUUUAGAUAUAUUAAAAUUUUCAUUAACUUUGAUUUAUUCAAUUUCUCAGAGAAUAUCAUUAGAGUUACACUAUCCCAAGAAAGACAAGAAGAGAUAAGCAAAAAAGAUGGAUUAAGGAAGGAAGCAAGAGAAAGCGAUAUCCUCUUUCUCCAGGAUAAAUUGACGUAACUAAUCCCACACGACGUUUUAUUAUCCUUCAUUAUCGAAGCACAAAUUAUAAUCCACGAAUAGCGUUUGGCGUUUAUGGAGGCAGUAUCUAUGAAAACUAACCUAUACUCUUUAUUCUUGGCGCAUGUCGUCGAGACCGUCGUUGGAUCGAACAAUGCGUUCGUCCCACGCCGCGCCAUGGUGCACUACCUCGUUCCACGCUGGAUCUGCUAUCUAUGGGGCAAGAGUAACACAUGUACUUAGUAGAAACGGUCCUGUGGAAAACAUUCUGUGGAAUCUAAUUUAUUGGCAAGACGAUUGUGUGAGAGAGAACAUAUCUAGACAAUUGAUGAGAAAUUAAGUUUGAAUGGAUGUUGUGGCAUUCGUAGGCGUAAUUGUAUAGAUUAUUUGAUGCCGUGGAAGUGGAAGAAUCAUGGACUCAUAGUUUGAGUUUUGAUAUUUAAUAAUUAAGGAUGAUUAUGGAAGAAAAAACAUAAGUAUUUAGAGGUUACGUGUAUUAUUGGAUCAAUAGGAUGAUCAUGAAAAUAUUGCAUAUAAGAUUGAUUAAAAAUUAAAGGAAUCAAAUAUACUCAUUGUUAAAAAUGAUUGUAGGAUUUAUAUUUAAAUAUUAUGAUUAAUAUGUGUUAUUGAAUUAAUGAAAAAAGAUAUUUUAAAUUUAUAUAAUUACAUUGUUGAAAUUUCAUACAUUGGGACAUGAUAAAUGUGAAUAUAUAAUGUUUACUUAUUGAAAUGCUGAAUAAUAAAGUAUUUACAUAUAUAGUG